rnacentral:rRNA from 1 species
UCUUCCUAAGGAGGCAGCAGUAGGGAAUUUUCGGCAAUGGGGGGAACCCUGACCGAGCAACGCCGCGUGAAGGAAGAAGGAAUUCGUUCUGUAAACUUCUGUUAUAAAGGAAGAAAGACGGAUGGAGGAAAUGACAUCCGAGUGACGGUACUUUAUGAGAAAGCCACGGCUAACUACGUGCCAGCAGCCGCGGUAAUACGUAGGUGGCAAGCGUUAUCCGGAAUUAUUGGGCGUAAAGAGGGAGCAGGCGGCAGCAAAGGUCUGUGGUGAAAGACUGAUGCUUAACUUCAGUAAGCCAUAGAAAC